UUACGGCCAUAUCACGUUGGUACCCCGGCUCCUAUAAUAUCAAUGAAGUUAAACAAGGUCGAGCUUGGUCAGUACUUAGAUAGGUGUCAGCCUGGGAAUAACAGGUGUUGUAA